AUUGAACGCUGGCGGAAUGCUUUACACAUGCGAGUCGAACGGCAGCACGGACUUCGGUCUGGUGGCGAGUGGCGAACGGGUGAGUAAUGUAUCGGAACGUGCCCAGUCGUGGGGGAUAACGUAGUGAAAAUUACGCUAAUACCGCAUACGAUCUAUGGAUGAAAGCGGGGGAUCGCAAGACCUCGCGCGAUUGGAGCGGCCGAUAUCAGAUUAGGUAGUUGGUGGGGUAAAGGCCCACCAAGCCAACGAUCUGUAGCUGGUCUGAGAGGACGACCAGCCAGACUGGAACUGAGACACGGUCCAGACUCCUACGGGAGGCAGCAGUGGGGAAUUUUGGACAAUGGGCGAAAGCCUGAUCCAGCCAUUCCGCGUGCAGGAUGAAGGCCCUCGGGUUGUAAACUGCUUUUGUACAGAACGAAAAGGUUUCUACUAAUACUAGGAGCUCAUGACGGUACUGUAAGAAUAAGCACUGGCUAACUACGUGCCAGCCGCCGCCGUAA
rnacentral:rRNA from 1 species